AUACGAACCGGACAAACGUUAUUCGGAAUCAUUGGGCUUAAAGGGUGCGUAGGCGGCGUAGUAAGUGAGGUGUGAAAGCCCUCGGCUCAACCGAGGAAUUGCGCUUCAUACUGCUAUGCUCGAGGGAGACAGGGGUAAGCGGAACUGAUGGUGGGGCGGUGAAAUGCGUUGAUAUCAUCAGGAACACCAGUGGCGAAAGCGGCUUACUGGGUCUCUUCUGACGCUGAGGCACGAAAGCUAGGGUAGCGAACGGGAUUAGAAACCCUAGUAGUCC
rnacentral:rRNA from 1 species